AGUCGAGCGGGGGAAGGUAGCUUGCUACCGGACCUAGCGGCGGACGGGUGAGUAAUGCUUAGGAAUCUGCCUAUUAGUGGGGGACAACAUCUCGAAAGGGAUGCUAAUACCGCAUACGUCCUACGGGAGAAAGCAGGGGAUCUUCGGACCUUGCGCUAAUAGAUGAGCCUAAGUCGGAUUAGCUAGUUGGUGGGGUAAAGGCCUACCAAGGCGACGAUCUGUAGCGGGUCUGAGAGGAUGAUCCGCCACACUGGGACUGAGACACGGCCCAGACUCCUACGGGAGGCAGCAGUGGGGAAUAUUGGACAAUGGGGGGAACCCUGAUCCAGCCAUGCCGCGUGUGUGAAGAAGGCCUUAUGGUUGUAAAGCACUUUAAGCGAGGAGGAGGCUACUUUAGUUAAUACCUAGAGAUAGUGGACGUUACUCGCAGAAUAAGCACCGGCUAACUCUGUGCCAGCAGCCGCGGUAAUACAGAGGGUGCGAGCGUUAAUCGGAUUUACUGGGCGUAAAGCGUGCGUAGGCGGCUUAUUAAGUCGGAUGUGAAAUCCCCGAGCUUAACUUGGGAAUUGCAUUCGAUACUGGUGAGCUAGAGUAUGGGAGAGGAUGGUAGAAUUCCAGGUGUAGCGGUGAAAUGCGUAGAGAUCUGGAGGAAUACCGAUGGCGAAGGCAGCCAUCUGGCCUAAUACUGACGCUGANGUACGAAAGCAUGGGGAGCAAACAGGANUAGAUACCCUGGUAGUCCAUGCCGUAAACGAUGUCUACUAGCCGNUGGGGCCUUUGAGGCUUUAGNGGNNCAGCUAACGCGAUAAGUANACCGCCUGGGGAGUACNGNCGCAAGAC
rnacentral:rRNA from 1 species